UGUGAUGUCAUAUACUUUCAAAGGUCC
rnacentral:piRNA from 1 species